UACAGAGGGUGCAAGCGUUAAUCGGAAUUACUGGGCGUAAAGCGUGCGUAGACGGUUGCGUAAGUCAGAUGUGAAAGCCCCGGGCUCAACCUGGGAAUUGCAUUUGAGACUGCGUAGCUAGGGUGCGGAAGAGGGAAGCGGAAUUUCCGGUGUAGCGGUGAAAUGCGUAGAUAUCAGGAGGAACACCAAUUGCGAAGGCAGCUCGCUGGGACGUUACUGACGCUGAGACGCGAAAGCGUGGGGAGCAAACAGG
rnacentral:rRNA from 1 species